GACGUAGGGCGCGAGCGUUGUUCGGAAUUAUUGGGCGUAAAGCGCUUGUAGGCGGCACGUCAAGUCGCGUGUGAAAUCCCCAGGCUUAACCUGGGAAGUGCGCGCGAAACUGACGAGCUUGAGUGCCGGAGAGGGUCGCGGAAUUCCCGGUGUAGAGGUGAAAUUCGUAGAUAUCGGGAGGAACACCAGUGGCGAAGGCGGCGACCUGGACGGAAACUGACGCUGAGACGCGAAAGCGUGGGGAGCAAACAGG
rnacentral:rRNA from 1 species